UUAAUCAGAAUCUCAUAUUUUCUUCUCGGCUAGUCCCCAUUUCUGUACACUAGAUUUUUCUAUUCUUCUUUGUUGUCCUACUUCCAUAGAGAAAAAUGGCAUUCAUUUCCGUAGUUGCAGUUCCAUGGUGCAAGAAGCAUAUUGAAAAUGGUCAUGGUGAUGUUUGGUAUGGCUAUCCUUUUGUUGUUUGCGAUGAAGGAGACGAUGACGACGACGACGGUGGUUAUGAUUAUGCUCCAGCAGCGUAAACCCUUUAUCUGUCUAAAUUAGCUAGUAUUAAUGACCAAUUCAUGUUAAUCUUGUUCUCUUUUGGUGUAAGGAUUAGUACUAACUGGAUGAGAACUGAAUAAAGGUUAUACAUGUAUAAAGUGUAGUAGUAUAUUGUAUGAUGAUAAAGUUCAGCAGCAGAAAAGUAAAUAUGUUGAGAGACUUUUAUUACUUAGGAUAAGUAACAAUUUCAAUUUAGAGUUGUGAUUACACCCUUGUCCUAUUAAUCUUUAAAUUGAAAUUAUUGUCUUUUAAUAAGAAUUUGGAUUAACAUUA
rnacentral:lncRNA from 1 species